AAAAAGACUUUUCUAAACCAAUUUAAACUCAACUAUCUAGCCAAAAAUACACUUGUAGUUAUGCUCACAUUCAAACAUGAUAUUCAAACACAAUGAUUGAAUACCUUUUUCCCUCUCCAUAAUAUCAAUAGUAACAUCUUAAUUAUAAGUUCAAUCACAGAUUUAUACCAUUGCAGAUUGAAUCUUCUUUAGGGCUCAUCUGGAACCGAGUAUAAAAUUUGAGAAAAUUAAUGAAGCAGAAAGAAUUUUGUCAAAUAAGAUCACUAAAAUUUACGAAAAAACUAUAAAGUCUACAGGGAGGCGAGCACACAAGCGACCUUAUCUUCUUCAAUCUGUGACAUUGUGCGUGAGGCCCACCUAAACAGCCAAAACCACCAGUCCAGGUCCACCAUCUGUAAUUCCCACCUCACCAUCGAUCGACUACUAUAUGUACGCCCAAUCUUCUGCCAUUACCUGGGCCUCCUCUCUCUCUCUCUCUCUCUCUCUCGUGCAGAACGAGAAAACCUUGCUGUGAAAAAGAAGGCACAAACAAAGGAGCUUUGUCUAAACAAGAAGAACAAAAACUCAUUGAUUACAUUAAAAUGUUCUAGAGUAAGGAUUGUUGCAGGAAUCCAGGAUGCAGGGUUGCAUCAGAGUGCAAUUCACAAGCAUGUUUCAGAGUCUUAGUUUGAAGUUUUAUAAAUGCAAUCCAAGUUUAAUAGACGGCUAUGAUUGUAAUAUUUGAAUGGUGUAAAAGUUGUCAUCUGUCAUAGCAGCUGUGCAAACUGAACAUGUGCAGUCCACGUGAGAAUGCUUUGGAUCCAUGUCACGUGUGGAGCGUGUGAAGCUCCAAUGGUCUCUUGUUUUUCCAUGCUUCUCGGAUCUGCGUUCACACCAGAAUUGUAAGCCAACUUUACUGUCAAUGAAACAAUGAGAGCUAUGAACCUCCAUUCCUUCCU
rnacentral:lncRNA from 1 species